GUGCUCGCUUCGGCAGCACAUAUACUAAAAUUGGAACAAAGAAGAUUAGCAUGGUCCCUAUGCAAAAAAAAAAAAGAAAGAAAAGACAAAAGGAACUAGUUA